rnacentral:misc_RNA from 1 species
CGAGCUCACGUACUCCCAUCGUCUGCCGUAGACAUUUUCUUCUGCAUUGGACUUUUUCUUUUUCCUCUCCCUCCUCUCCCCAGCUCGGGCGCGGCUACACUGCAGGGAGGGGGUGGGGUGGGCGCAACGAGGUUCGGCAGCAUGCGCUCAUAUGUGCGUGUCUUUACGGCAUCAAGCGGAUCAGAAAGCAGCGAAAAACACACGACUAAAGCAACGGGCAGCAGAGGUGGGGGGGGGCGGCGUGUCGGCCGUACUUGCGCGCUCUCUUACCCACUCUCACGCUCACUUUACCUCUUCACAAGGACAGCCCCUGCCAGCUGGUUUACACGACCGUAAGUACCCACGCCAGCGCACGACACCGGCGCCAGCAUGCAGAUCAUACUCAAGAGUCGCAAUCGCUUCUUUGCGGUGGCUCUCUGGAGCGGCGCAACGACCGUGGUGAUGUUCUGGCUGGUGCUGCGCCGCACGGGCUUCAACACCGCCUACAGCCGGUGCACCUACCUGGUAAUGAUGGGGGAGUACAAACAGCUGCUGGAGCCUGGCACAUUCCCGAGCAACGAUCGCCUUCCGCCCCACCUGCGACUUGACAAGCCUUCUUACUUGGACUUGCGCGAUACGGAGAUUGCGCUGCCACCGGUGAUUGAUGUCAGCCUCUCGGACCGAGAUCAGGUGAGGCAGUUGGAGGGUCAGCUGCCGUCGACGGAGCGGUCGGACCUGCAUGUACACUUCGGGCCAAUCAAAUCACAGACGAUCAUCAUGACGCCGAGCUCGAACGAACGGUACGUGCGGCGUCGACUCGGGUUGUCUGAGAAGGAUCGCAAGAAUCUAGAAGCCGAGGGGCAGCAGGCCUUUGCGCAGGCGUGAUCGUGAUGCACAGGACUGGACCGUGCGUAGAAAAGGACACGGAAGGCCUGGAGAGAGGGGAGGGGAGGGGAGGGGAGGGGAGGACCGGCGCUGGCCGCCACCAUGCCGCUCUUCGCAGCAUGUGGUGACGUGCACAAGCUCACAGAGGGCGGGUCAAGUCCCUCUCAUAACCUCAGUGCACUGAAGUAGGACUCACACCGCCCUCUCCCCUGACAGGAGAAGGGCUCCGCACAGGGAAUCCGUGGGAGCGCUCAGCAGGUAACUUGUCCUCUCACUCGCUUCAGCGCUCCCCAUUUCCAUUUUUCGUUUGUCGCGCGUUAUGCAUCCUCACUGAGGGGGGAGGGAGGAAGCGACGAUGGCGGCUACGUGGACUGCCGUCUGAUGGUGGACCAGCUGGCGUUGGCGACUCCACUCUUCCUCAACGGACAGCUCUCGUUUCGUUGUCAAUGGCGGAGGUUAUGGAUGUAUCUGUGUUUGUUGCCGACGCUGCACACGUGUGUUCGUGCUGGAUCCUCUCGCUUUCCUAUGCUCCUCUCACUCUACCCCCCUUUUUUUCGGUCUCCUCGUUCGUGGCGCUUCACCCAUGAUGGGAUCUGGCGUGGUGGUGCGGUUGCGGUUGGAAUGGUGUCUGCCCCGUGCCUGUGGUGCCUCGCGAUUCGCAUUCGCUCGAAG